AUUGCCUUCAAUAUCAUAUUAUGAUCGCUAUGUUGCACUCAUUUUUAUUUUACCCCUUUUCUCCCCAAUUUCGUGGUAUCCAAUUGUUUUUAGUAGCUACUACCCAAUGAUACAACUUAUCCACGAAGACGUGCAAACUGUUUAGCCGACCGGCAGUUGUGCCACUAUUAUUAGCUGGGCUACUUAGCUAACCAUGCUGGGUGUGUGUGUUUUAGCUAGUGUUUUUGACUGACCUGGUCCCUUACUGGCGAACAUGUCACUUAUUUUUGCAGCAUUUAGCUGCGUCUGUGGCAAGGGCCUUUCUCUUUUAAUUCUCUCCCUCUCUGCUCCACCUUUCCUUUUCGUCCAUUUCGCCGUGCGACUUGUCUGAAAUGUUGUUGGUAGGGAAGCAGGUAGACCGUUGCUAUGCGCGUCGCGGACAGGCCUGAUGUCAUGUUUGGGGCGCAACCUCGCGCGGGGACACAGCAGCGAGAGAGUGAGAGUGUCCCUGAUGACUGGAUUCUCCUCAAAUUAUUCCUGCUUGCUGUAUUAUGGCUGGUCAAGUUAACUAUUCACGGCGCUGUUUCCUGAGUGAAUUAACACUUGUCAGUGAUGAGGGCCUAUUUCGAAAUGAGCACUACACCACUGAAAUUGAAGGAAAGGUGGCAGGUGCACAGUGCGCUGUUCGGAUCGUGGGAUUAUAUUGGACGAAAGUGUGAAGGUUUGAGGAGCAGUUGCAGCUGCAGUGUGUGUGAUGUCACUCUGAACUCAAUAGAACAGUACUACGCACAUCUCCAGGGCUCCAGACACCAAAACAAUUUGAAGCAGCACCAGAGAUGUGUUGAGUCAGCCGGUCUGUGACUUCUGCCCCCCAGUGGAUGGAUGACCAGAGAGAAGAAGCAGCCAGAGAGAGACGGACUGGAAUUGUGAUGUCAUCGUGUGCCGUUUGUGCCGUCACAGUGCAGAGAAGGAGGUGUGACUGGUUGGACUAAAACAGAAACAGACAUAGCGAUGAUGUCACAUGCACAAACUUUUUCUGCAAAGAGAGUUCAAUGAUGUCAGUCACCCACAGAAAUUGACAAGAACACUUCUCACACUUUGUCAUCUGACACACACACACACACACACACACAGACAGUUGUGCCAGAGUUGAUUGAGUUGAUUCACGUCAUUAAAGUACUUUGAAACAUAU
rnacentral:lncRNA from 1 species